rnacentral:rRNA from 1 species
UACGGGGGGGGCAAGCGUGGUUCGGAAUUACUGGGCGUAAAGGGCGCGUAGGCGGUGUGUCAAGUCAGGCGUGAAAGCCCCGGGCUCAACCUGGGAACCGCGCUUGAGACUGGCACGCUAGAGUUCGGGAGAGGAUGGUGGAAUUCCCAGUGUAGAGGUGAAAUUCGUAGAUAUUGGGAAGAACACCGAUGGCGAAGGCAGCCAUCUGGACCGACACUGACGCUGAGGCGCGAAAGCGUGGGGAGCAAACAGG